UUAUUGCUGAGUGCUGCUCUGCUUGUUGCUUGGUCCAUAUUAUAUGAACUGCAAUGAUUUCAGUUUGUGAAACUGGUUAAGUCAUAUGAAUUCUGUUUGCUGCUUGCUUGAACCUGGGAAACAUGCUAUUUACUGCUGCUGUUUAAUAAACAAUUGCUUCUGUUGAUGAUUCUAUUCUUUGCAUAUUAAAUAAAAGAUUUGAGUGGUAUAAAUUAUUUUAUACUACUACAAGAUUUAUUAAGGAUUAAGAUUUUAUGUUAUCUGUAGGGGAGGAAAAGGAAAAAGAAAAAAAAGAAAAAGAAAAAGAUAAAAGGACAGUUUCUGACAGGUGAUGUGUUUAAGUGGAUUUGGUUUAUCCACAUCAAAUGACAUAUAAUAUUACAACCUUCGACCUUGGAUAUGAUAUGCCAACAAUGGCUGCUUCUCUCUCCUCUCUACUUCUUCCACUAGGUAUCUAUUCUAUGUGCUGCUUCCUUAAAUUUCCAAUUGUUUUCUUCAUUUCACAACUCAAACAAUGUUACAUUGUCAUUGCUUCUUGUUUCUGUUUUGUUCACAACCUCAGAUUGUUAUUGCUUCCACUCUUGUAUAGGUUUUAGUUUGAGGAGCACUACUAAUUAUUGUUUAACUCAAUAAUCUGUUGUGUCAUGUUCUUAGAUGAAUGAUAGUGGUGCUAAAAAGUUGUUUUUUUCUAAGAGGAAAGUAAUAAGUAAUAACGAAUUAUUGUUGAGUUAAUGAGUUCAUGCAUUGUAUUUACAGGAUAGUAAAGGUUCUACUUGUAAAAGUUUGGGCUGCAAUCCUCAAGGCAUUGCUGCUGACAGGCUUCGAUGCUUGGUUCCGCAAUACCAAAGAUCGGCGGUAAAAGCAAAGGCCUCAGAUACAACUGAAUGUGCUGCUAUGGUUAAUAGCAGUUCACGCAGAGACUUUCUUGGAUUAGCUUUGGGAGUCUCAAGCCUCUUUGUUGGUUCAUUGGAAGGCAAAGGAGCUGGUUUGCCCCCAGAAGAUAAGCCGAAACUAUGUGAUGAAGCUUGUGAGAAGGAGCUUGAAAAUGUAUGGCUGCAGAGGCUUGGAUUGAUGUUGAAAGAGUUCAUACAAUUGCAUUAGGAGCCAAGAAGAACUAGUGUCAUGAUGAUCUAUCUUUUUUUUUCGGGGAAAUUGCAAUCAAUGGAGUCAGGUUCAGUAUAAUAGUACUUAGCAAUAACUUCUUAUACUGCUCUC